GACGAACGCUGGCGGCGUGCUUAACACAUGCAAGUCGAACGCUGAAGCUUGGUGCUUGCACUGGGUGGAUGAGUGGCGAACGGGUGAGUAAUACGUGAUUAACCUGCCCUUGACUCUGGGAUAAGCCUGGGAAACUGGGUCUAAUACUGGAUACGACAUGCCACUGCAUGGUGGUGUGUGGAAAGGGUUUUACUGGUUUUGGAUGGGCUCACGGCCUAUCAGCUUGUUGGUGGGGUAAUGGCCUACCAAGGCGACGACGGGUAGCCGGCCUGAGAGGGUGACCGGCCAAACUGGGACUGAGACACGGCCCAGACUCCUACGGGAGGCAGCAGUGGGGAAGAUUGCACAAUGGGCGGAAGCCUGAUGCAGCGACGCCGCGUGAGGGAUGACGGCCUUCGGGUUGUAAACCUCUUUCAGCACGGAAGAAGCGAGAGUGACGGUACGUGCAGAAGAAGCGCCGGCUAACUACGUG
rnacentral:rRNA from 1 species